rnacentral:rRNA from 1 species
CCUACGGGUGGCAGCAGUGAGGAAUAUUGGUCAAUGGGCGGAAGCCUGAACCAGCCAAGUAGCGUGCAGGAUGACGGCCCUACGGGUUGUAAACUGCUUUUAUACGGGAAUAACGCGCCUUACGUGUAGGGCUUUGCAUGUACCGUAUGAAUAAGGACCGGCUAAUUCCGUGCCAGCAGCCGCGGUAAUACGGAAGAUACGGGCGUUAUCCGGAUGUAUUGGGUUUAAAGGGAGCGUAGGCCGCAUGUCAAGUGUGCUGGGAAAUGCCCGGGCUCAACCCGGGCCUGGCAGCGCAAACUGGCGUGCUUGAGUCCGCGGAAGGCAGGCGGAAUUCGCCGUGUAGCGGUGAAAUGCUUAGAUAUGACGAAGAACCCCGAUUGCGAAGGCAGCUUGCUGCAGCGGAACUGACGCUGAUGCUCGAAAGCGCGGGUAUCGAACAGGAUUAGAUACCCUAGUAGUC